rnacentral:rRNA from 1 species
AGAGUUUGAUCCUGGCUCAGGAUGAACGCUAGCUACAGGCUUAACACAUGCAAGUCGAGGGGCAGCAUGGUCUUAGCUUGCUAAGGCCGAUGGCGACCGGCGCACGGGUGAGUAACACGUAUCCAACCUGCCGUCUACUCUUGGACAGCCUUCUGAAAGGAAGAUUAAUACAAGAUGGCAUCAUGAGUCCGCAUGUUCACAUGAUUAAAGGUAUUCCGGUAGACGAUGGGGAUGCGUUCCAUUAGAUAGUAGGCGGGGUAACGGCCCACCUAGUCUUCGAUGGAUAGGGGUUCUGAGAGGAAGGUCCCCCACAUUGGAACUGAGACACGGUCCAAACUCCUACGGGAGGCAGCAGUGAGGAAUAUUGGUCAAUGGGCGAGAGCCUGAACCAGCCAAGUAGCGUGAAGGAUGACUGCCCUAUGGGUUGUAAACUUCUUUUAUAAAGGAAUAAAGUCGGGUAUGCAUACCCGUUUGCAUGUACUUUAUGAAUAAGGAUCGGCUAACUCCGUGCCAGCAGCCGCGGUAAUACGGAGGAUCCGAGCGUUAUCCGGAUUUAUUGGGUUUAAAGGGAGCGUAGAUGGAUGUUUAAGUCAGUUGUGAAAGUUUGCGGCUCAACCGUAAAAUUGCAGUUGAUACUGGAUAUCUUGAGUGCAGUUGAGGCAGGCGGAAUUCGUGGUGUAGCGGUGAAAUGCUUAGAUAUCACGAAGAACUCCGAUUGCGAAGGCAGCCUGCUAAGCUGCAACUGACAUUGAGGCUCGAAAGUGUGGGUAUCAAACAGGAUUAGAUACCCUGGUAGUCCACACGGUAAACGAUGAAUACUCGCUGUUUGCGAUAUACUGCAAGCGGCCAAGCGAAAGCGUUAAGUAUUCCACCUGGGGAGUACGCCGGCAACGGUGAAACUCAAAGGAAUUGACGGGGGCCCGCACAAGCGGAGGAACAUGUGGUUUAAUUCGAUGAUACGCGAGGAACCUUACCCGGGCUUAAAUUGCAUUUGAAUAAUCUGGAAACAGGUUAGCCGCAAGGCAAAUGUGAAGGUGCUGCAUGGUUGUCGUCAGCUCGUGCCGUGAGGUGUCGGCUUAAGUGCCAUAACGAGCGCAACCCUUAUCUUUAGUUACUAACAGGUCAUGCUGAGGACUCUAGAGAGACUGCCGUCGUAAGAUGUGAGGAAGGUGGGGAUGACGUCAAAUCAGCACGGCCCUUACGUCCGGGGCUACACACGUGUUACAAUGGGGGGUACAGAAGGCAGCUAGCGGGUGACCGUAUGCUAAUCCCAAAAGCCUCUCUCAGUUCGGAUCGAAGUCUGCAACCCGACUUCGUGAAGCUGGAUUCGCUAGUAAUCGCGCAUCAGCCACGGCGCGGUGAAUACGUUCCCGGGCCUUGCACACACCGCCCGU